AAGUUUUAAAGGGUAGUUUUGCGAUAGAUGAAAAUUUUAAAGUGCAAUAGCAGGGAAACAGGUUGAGUUUCAAUGCAUAUAAGGAGAUAGCACAUUAAUUUUGAAUCAGAUAUCAUUGCAAUUCAUUCAUACAUAAGAUUUGCGUUAUAAAGGGGGGUAUCAAUGAUAAUUAGGAUUAGAGUACAAGGCAUAAUGAGUGACUAAAAGCGCUAUAGCUUCGACUCAUUCAUUGAGCCAGCUGCUGUAAGUAAGUAAACAUGAAGAAAAUAUAGCAAAAUAAAAAUUUCGAAAGAACAUAAAGGAAUCAUCAAAUUAUAAUGGAAGGGAGUUGAAUACUUCCGGUAUCAGAAUGCGCGUUUAUUUAUAGACACAUCGGUAAGAAAAAUAAAAGACAAAAAAAAAAAAAAAAGACUGAGAUAGAAAAAUGCCAAAAACUCAUGCAGAGUCAGUGU